GGGACUUUCUGGUUGUCCUGGUGCUUUAGGAAUAUACCAUUUUGGUAGCUAUGUGGAAGAUGAAUUGGAAUUUGAGAUACUAAAAUUUGUUGUUUGGCCAUUUCAGUUACAUCCAAUUCAUUGUGACAUCUAUUGUGUUUUUCAUGGCAAACAUAAUAAAAUGACUGCCAUUCCCUUUUCCAGAUCAUUUUACAGAUGAGGAAGCUGAGUCUUCCUGACUUUAGGUCUCUCGCUCUAAUCCAAUGUGCCACCUACCUGCCUACCUGAAGGUAGAUUCUUCAAAGUCUCCAGGAAACAUACUAGUGUACAACAGAAGAAAUUACAAGGAUUGCUUUUAUAUGAAAAGGAGGGGAAGCAUGAAGCAUUGGAUAAAAUAUGGGGUUUGGACUCAGAGGAUCUGGGUUGGAAUUGUGCCUCUCCCACUAUCUCUGUGACCUUAGAUAGUGAAAACAUCUGUUCACCCACAAAGUGCUUCAUGCCAGCUGACACAGACCAGGAAGAGAAGCAGAAGAACACUGUUGACAUCAGCUAUCUACAUGCCAGCCACAAUCCAGGCACGCUGGAAGGACACUUCUUUGGUGACUAAUAUCACUCCAGAACAAUGACAUUACACUAUUAGAGACAUUUGCUAUUAGGCUACUGAUGGACACUUGUCAUGCUGACAUCCAUUGAUAUGUUGUACCCAGAACAACAUCAAGUAUGCUAACUCAGAAGGACUAAGACACAUUCAUGUCUGUAUAAGACACCAGAUAUAUCCCACACUCCAAAGACUACUAUGGGAUUGAGAUGAAAUAGCUACAAUUGUUUAGCUACUAAUGUAUAUCUUGUAUUUUGUAUAUGAUACUGUCAAAAGAAAUUUAUAUUGUAUUGCAUUGUAAAUCUACCACUUGUAUUGUAAGAAAUGCUACUAUCAACAAGGGUAUAGACAUUGGUAUGGCUCUACAAAGAGUAGGAAAUAGAAAACUUUCAUUCAUAGCAUAGAUCUGAUACCUCUGACAACAAAAAUGAGGUGCUAAGCAGAAGAUGCUGCACAGGCAUGUGUAAUGGACAGAUGAUACUGAUUUUACUCUCAAGAAAGGAUGAGAGAUCAGGCAAAGUGCACUAUGAAAUCUUUAAUCAGGGAUCUGAGUUAUUGUAAAAGAUCAUUGACAUCCAGGCAAAGAUUAUGUUCCUGACAAUACCUGGAUGGACAUUAUGGGCUGACUACCAUAGGUGUAGUUAAGUUUUAAUAUCGUUGUUAACCAUUAUUACUCCUGAUACCCUGUCUUUGUUGGUAAUAUCUUGAUAAGAACAGUUUCUUGCUCUAUCCCAACAGUCCCAGAAUUCAGACGGCUGCUGGAUUCAGGGUCUAUUGGCUUCCCUUUCACAUACUGGAAGACAUUCUAGUAUGUGAAAGUAAGACCUCAGGAGCAAACUGAGGACUCUGGGUUUGACAAUUUC
rnacentral:lncRNA from 1 species